rnacentral:rRNA from 1 species
UACGUAGGGACCGAGCGUUGUCCGGAAUCAUUGGGCGUAAAGAGCGUGUAGGCGGCUAUUUAAGUCCUGCGUGAAAUCCUGCGGCUCAACCGCAGACGGUCGUGGGAAACUGGAUGGCUAGAGUGCGGGAGAGGAGAGUGGAAUUCCCGGUGUAGCGGUGAAAUGCGCAGAUAUCGGGAAGAACACCCCGUGGCGAAGGCGGCUCUCUGGAACGCAACUGACGCUGAGACGCGAAAAGCGUGGGGAGCAAACAGG